rnacentral:rRNA from 1 species
ACGAACGCUGGCGGCGUGCUUAACACAUGCAAGUCGAACGGAAAGGCCCCUUUGGGGGUACUCGAGUGGCGAACGGGUGAGUAACACGUGAGUAACCUGCCCUUGACUUCGGGAUAACUUCAGGAAACUGGGGCUAAUACCGGAUAGGAAUCCUUGCUGCAUGGUGGGGGUUGGAAAGCUUCGGCGGUUUUGGAUGGACUCGCGGCUUAUCAGCUUGUUGGUGGGGUAGUGGCUUACCAAGGCUUUGACGGGUAGCCGGCCUGAGAGGGCGACCGGCCACAUUGGGACUGAGAUACGGCCCAGACUCCUACGGGAGGCAGCAGUGGGGAAUAUUGCACAAUGGGCGGAAGCCUGAUGCAGCAACGCCGCGUGCGGGAUGACGGCCUUCGGGUUGUAAACCGCUUUCAGAAGGGGCGAAGCUUGUGGUGACGGUACCUGCAGAAGAAGCACCGGCUAACUACGUG